rnacentral:rRNA from 1 species
CUUUUAUGGAGAGUUUGAUCCUGGCUCAGGACGAACGCUGGCGGCGUGCCUAAUACAUGCAAGUCGAGCGCGGGAAGCGAGUGGAUCCCUUCGGGGUGAAGCUCGUGGAACGAGCGGCGGACGGGUGAGUAACACGUGGGCAACCUGCCUGUAAGAUCGGAAUAACCCCGGGAAACCGGGGCUAAUGCCGGGUAA